UUUGUUUCGUUAGAUAUCGGAUUUAUUCAGAUCAGAUCAGAGCAGAGCAGGAGUCAACACGGGGCGGCAUACGGACGAGAUGAUGAAGUGAUGGUACAAUUUGACAAAUGGAAAUGGCACACGCAGAUGGUUUGAUUUGUUUUCGGUUCGAGGCCAUUGGCGAGAUGAGAUUCAGCAUCAGGAGACAAGAUAGCAUCAUUGAUCACACCGAGUAAAACAAGGACAACGACCCAAAAAACGAAUCGGCACCAAUGUGCGUUUAUGUAUAGAUAUGUGUUUUUUGGUUUCGAUAUUGAUUGGUACGAGUGUUUUGUGUGAUUUAUUGAGGCAUUCGCAUGGUACCCAGCAGAUGAGUAGUUGUUCAAAGGACAGGCAGGCAAUAUAUAUG